GAAAAGAAACUAACAAGGAUUCCCCUAGUAACGGCGAGUGAAGCGGGAAGAGCUCAAAUUUGAAAUCUGGUGGCCUCAGGUCAUCCGAGUUGUAAUCUAUAGAAGUGUUUUCCGUGCUGGCUCAUGUACAAGUCCCUUGGAACAGGGCGUCAUAGAGGGUGAGAAUCCCGUCCUUGACAUGAACUACCAGUGCUCUGUGAUACAUUUUCAACGAGUCGAGUUGUUUGGGAAUGCAGCUCAAAAUGGGUGGUAAAUUCCAUCUAAAGCUAAAUAUUGGCGAGAGACCGAUAGCGAACAAGUACCGUGAGGGAAAGAUGAAAAGCACUUUGGAAAGAGAGUUAAACAGUAUGUGAAAUUGUUGAAAGGGAAACGAUUGAAGUCAGUCGUGCUCUUUGGAUUCAGCCGGUUCUGCCGGUGUACUUCCUUUGAGUGGGGUCAACAUCAGUUUUGAUCGCUGGAUAAAGGCUGGAGGAACGUAGUACCCUCGGGUAAACUUAUAGCCUCCUGUCACAUACAGUGGUUGGGACUGAGGAACGCAGCACGCCUUUAUGGCCGGGAUUCGUCCACGUACGUGCUUAGGAUGUUGACAUAAUGGCUUUAAACGACC
rnacentral:rRNA from 1 species